rnacentral:rRNA from 1 species
GAUGAACGCUGGCGGCGUGCCUAAUACAUGCAAGUCGAGCGAACAGACGAGGAGCUUGCUCCUCUGACGUUAGCGGCGGACGGGUGAGUAACACGUGGAUAACCUACCUAUAAGACUGGGAUAACUUCGGGAAACCGGAGCUAAUACCGGAUAAUAUAUUGAACCGCAUGGUUCAAUAGUGAAAGACGGUUUUGCUGUCACUUAUAGAUGGAUCCGCGCCGCAUUAGCUAGUUGGUAAGGUAACGGCUUACCAAGGCAACGAUGCGUAGCCGACCUGAGAGGGUGAACGGCCACACUGGAACUGAGACACGGUCCAGACUCCUACGGGAGGCAGCAGUAGGGAAUCUUCCGCAAUGGGCGAAAGCCUGACGGAGCAACGCCGCGUGAGUGAUGAAGGUCUUCAGAUCGUAAAACUCUGUUAUUAGGGAAGAACAAAUGUGUAAGUAACUAUGCACGUCUUGACGGUACCUAAUCAGAAAGCCACGGCUAACUACGUG